GUCUCCUAGAAGGGAGCAACCACAAAUUUAUGCACAUUGGACAUGCACGGCAAGCACCCAAGACCCCUCGUGAACGCCAGUCUGUACAGACUGUGCGCUGCUCCCUGCUGUAUCCCCUGAAAUUCACUCUGCACGAAGGACCUGUGGUCUCCUGAGGACAAGGCUCCACACAAAAGAGGACAGCACUUGCAAACAUCUCAUUAGAGGCUGCUCCCAGGCUCCCUGUAUGCUGUCAGCACAAUUUUCAGACACGAGAACCAUGCACCCCACCAUUGCCACACACAGACCAGGGAGCAGGCUGUCAAGCUGCUCCUGACAGCAGCUCCUACAUGGAGCCCGACAGAAGUGGGGUAGCUGCAAUUACCCCCAGAGCCCGCUGUGACAGACAGCAGGAGGGUGGUGUGCACAGUGAAGCGAAGGCUGGUGGAAGGUCUUGAAACAGAAUUGCUCACCCACAGUCACUUCUGCAGAAGGAACAGGCAGUGUCAGGCUCCUUAGCUGUUAGCCCAAUGAUUUCCACCAGUUUUAAAUCUGCUGAGGCAAAUGAGCUCUAAUAACCCUUAGGGGAAAAUAUAGUUCAGGGGACAGACGGACAACAGUCUGUGGUAAAACAUUGAUUAUUAUGAAAGUCAAACCCCAUUUCCUUUAGCUGCCAGGUUAGACCCCACUCAGAGGAGACCAAGGAUUGGAUACAAAAAGCCUGUUUCACCCAGCCAUCCACUGUGUGACAGAGCUGCAGGGGAGUAUUUUCAUUUUGUGCUAUUUUGGAUGCUGUCAGCUAGUUACCAACCAGAAUGUAAAAGCUGUCCCUCCUUCCUUGUCUCCUGCACUAAUGACUACAUGUGCAAAAGCUGACUUUUGGCAGUUGCAGAGGGAGCUCUGAGCCAUAGGCAGAGAAAUACUCUGAGGACCGAGCUCUAGAGUUGUUCUGGAAACACAAAGCAAACUAAUCACAGAGCAGGAUGUGGUCUGUUUUGCUUUUGCUUCCCAGUAAUUUCCCUUGGGUCCAGCACGUUUUCAAUGCCUUCUACCAUUGUUUGCUUAACGUCCUUCACAUUUACACUUCCCUGACUUCAACCUAAGACAUCUCUCACUUAUUCCAAAAGACACAACAGUGGCACUCAGAUACUUAGAAAUCUUCCCUGCACACCAAGAAAUCAUUUCAAAAUUGUUUUUCUUGGCCCCUGUUCUGUUACACCAUGAGGAAAAGGCAGGUGCAAGCCUGCAGAUGUUAAUAGGGUGAAGAAAUGAUACCAGUUAAUAUGGCAGGAAGUGCACCAUUGGGACAAAUUUUCUGCUGCUUUAUACCUCGUACAGCUAUUUCUGUCAAUGCAGCAGCAGGCUGCUAAUCAAGGUCUCAGUUUAUCACUCUUCAGCAGCUUGCAGGGGCUGUAAGGCAUUAGCUAAUCGGAAUGGUAUGCUGAAAAUUACAGCCCCAUAGAAAGGUAAGUAAGAGUCUAAGCCAUUUCACCACAGGCACCAAUAUCGGCAGGGGGAAGGGCAGUGAGGAAUACGCCUCAGUUCCUUCUGGGAAAAUAAUUUGCUAUUAAAUGGAAAGGAGCAGUGAAUGAAGAGGGAAAAGGCUGAGCUGAUUAAUCCAGGCUAAGAGACACCCUGGCUGGUGUCAGUGGGUGUUUUCCUGAUCUGGCCUGUGACCUCCUUGCUUCAGAAGGCCAUUCAGACUUUCUGACACUUUUCUUCCAAGGCACUGUCUUUCCUCUGCCCUGCUCACAGACCACUGCAGCCUCCUCCUCUCCAGCUCCUAGCCCUACUGCAGUCACCUCUUCUUCCUGCCCUGCUGACAAGACCCUCGCUGAGCACGGUCUCCGGAACAAAACGCCGUGUUCUCACACAGAUCUCACCCAAACUGCAAAAUCUACCGUGUGAUCACUUCCCCCUCUGUCCUGCUCCUCUUUGGUGAGGUGCUAGAGAGCCGGUUUUGCUGCUUGGACACAUACUGUCCUUUCUGAGCCAGCGGUCUGGCAGCAGCCCCUCUCCCCACCAACAGGCAGAUGUUUCCAGUUCUUCCAUUUCCAUACUUCGAGGUUUAACACCUGAGCGAGACUGCCCCACAGAGCUGCUGCAGGCCACCUUGGACCAGCUUUCGCAGUCGGUCUUCACAACAGAGCCUUUGCCCAUCUGCGAGAUGUGUUCAGUCAGGUGUUGGGUUUUCCUCCUGAAUGUUCACAAAACCAGUGAAUGGCCCAGAACAGACACCUGUGCAACCUGAACAGAAAUAGCGUCACCCAGCCCAGGUUCCUGGGAUGCCCUUGGAGAUCAUCUGAUAACUGUGUUGACUCAUUUCACCUGGGAGUUAAGACUAUUGUAGAAGGUUGGCUUUGAAAUUAGAUAACAUUAAAGAUGCUUAGAC